rnacentral:rRNA from 1 species
UCCGGGGGGGGCAAGCGUUGUUCGGAAUUACUGGGCGUAAAGGGCUCGUAGGUGGCCAACUAAGUCAUACGUGAAAUCCCUCGGCCUAACCGGGGAACUGCGUCUGAUACUGGAUGGCUUGAGGUUGGGAGAGGGAUGCGGAAUUCCAGGUGUAGCGGUGAAAUGCGUAGAUAUCUGGAGGAACACCGGUGGCGAAGGCGGCAUCCUGGACCAAUUCUGACACUGAGGAGCGAAAGCCAGGGGAGCAAACGGG